rnacentral:misc_RNA from 1 species
AUGUGUGAAAUAUCCAUUUGGGUAUUUUUGUAAGUUAUAGUGAUUAACUGGGUAAUUUUUAUAAUUAUGCUGAGAUUUAAGUUUAAGAGUUCAAGGGUUUAAUUGUAAUUGUCAUUGCAAGGGAUGGAUUUGAUUGUUUUGCAUUUGGAUGAUGUGCUUCUUAGUUUUUACUUCUGUAUCAAAUUGAUUAAAUUAAGUGAUUAGAAGCCUUAACUCUAGUCACUUAAUCUGAAAGCUCAAGCUUUCUGAUACCAUGUUCAAGAACCAUUCAACUCAAAUGAAUCUUUUAGUGAGAAUCGAGGGGUUUUUUAUUUUAUUUUUUAUUUAU